rnacentral:lncRNA from 1 species
AGGUGCCAUGUACAGCUGAGAAAAAGUGACAUUCCUUUCUAUUUCUGUUCAGUUGUAUCCAGAGUUCUAUCAUGUCUAACUUUUCUAAUAUUCUUUUCCUCUCCUUAACUUCUGUUUUAUUAUUUUAUACAUACAUUUGCUUAAUUCUGAGAGGGGAAAGUUGAGGUCACUGCUUAGUAUAGUUUUACCAUCUAGUUCCUUCUGUAAGCCAUGUAAAUUUUCCUUUAAGAAAUUGGAUGCUCUGCCAUUUGGUGCAUCUCGUUUUAGUAUUGAUAUUAUAUUAUUGUCUCUGGUACCUUUUCAGCAAGAUAUAGUUUCCCUGCUUAUCUCUUUGACUUAGGACCAUUUCAGCUUUUCCUUUGUCAGAGAUCAUGAUUUCUACCCUUACCUUUUACACUUCACCUAAACAAGUGUCUCUGUGAGUGUUGGGCAGCAGUGGGGGGAGGGGUGGUGGAAGCAUGGGGAUUGUCUAAAGCUUCAGACCUUUUCACACUGCUGCUUUCAGAGCUAGUUCUGGGAGUCUGACAGUUUUUGAGGGUUCCAAAGUGAUGUGAUUGGGGGAGAGGUUUGGCCCAUGCUUUCCUGGUUUGUGCUCUGGCCUUUACCUAGCAAGAACCACUUAUCCCUUGGGAAUGCAAUGGAUCCUGCUCCUCACGGUCCCUGUUCCUUCUUGUCAGAAUGUUCUCCUCUGUGCCCUUGAACUGUGACCUGGAAGUCUGUAUAGACAAUGGGGUGUCCAAAUAGCUUCCAAGUUGUUCUCAUGGAAUAGUUGAAGCUUCCCUUGCUACUUACAUUAAAUGUUCACAUUCUCUUUGGGAUUAUAGGUCCAACUCCCAGACCCUUGAACCCACUGUACUUAAAGCAAAUAGAGGAGUUCCUAAUUCAGGCAGCGUCCUGGACAGCGGUUUGGCAACAGCCUUCUGGGAUCUCUGAAUCCCUCCAUCUAGGUGGUUCAUUGGUAAGCACAAUACACCUGGAAUUAGGAAGAUCUGAGUUCCAAUCCAGCCUCAGGCAUUUCCUAGUUAUAUGACCUUGGCCAAGGGCAAGUCAGAGUAUACCUAGUCAAGCACUCUUUUGUCUUUUUGCCUCCUCAGUAAGACUGAUAGCCCAUGUGAAUGUGUCUGUGAUCUUACAGUGCUGUCUGGGUCACUAAGAGGUUAGGUGACUUGACUGUGGUCAUGCUGCUAGCAUGAUCCUGAAGCUGGCCCUCUAUCCUUAGGGAUCAGAGAAUCCGUCCCUUCCAUCCAGGCACAGUACAAGCAUCACCUAUUCCAUGAAGGCUUUCUUGUUUCCAGCUCCUAGUGGCCUGGAUCCCAGAGUACCUUGUACUUUGCCUUUAUUUGCAUUUAUUCUCCAUAUACUUUUAUUUAUUUUCUGUCUCAUCAGAAGAUAAGCUUCUAAUGGU